UAUGGGGCAAGCGUUAUCCGGAUUUACUGGGUGUAAAGGGAGCGUAGACGGCGUGGCAAGUCAGAAGUGAAAGCCCGGGGCUCAACCCCGGAACUGCUUUCGAAACUGUCGUGCUGGAGUGCAGGAGAGGUAAGCGGAAUUCCUAGUGUAGCGGUGAAAUGCGUAGAUAUUAGGAGGAACACCGGUGGCGAAGGCGGCUUACUGGACUGUAACUGACGUUGAGGCUCGAAAGCGUGGGGAGCAA
rnacentral:rRNA from 1 species